ACGGGAGGCAGCAGUGGGGAAUAUUGGGCAAUGGGGGAAACCCUGACCCAGCAACGCCGCGUGAAGGAAGAAGGCUUUCGGGUUGUAAACUUCUUUUAGUAGGGACGAACAAAUGACGGUACCUACAGAAAAAGCAACGGCUAACUACGUGCCAGCAGCCGCGGUAAUACGUAGGUUGCAAGCGUUGUCCGGAUUUACUGGGUGUAAAGGGCGUGUAGGCGGAGCUGCAAGUCAGAUGUGAAAUCCCGGGGCUCAACCCCGGAACUGCAUUUGAAACUGUAGCCCUUGAGUAUCGGAGAGGCAAGCGGAAUUCCUAGUGUAGCGGUGAAAUGCGUAGAUAUUAGGAAGAACACCAGUGGCGAAGGCGACUUGCUGGACUGAGACUGACGCUGAGGCUCGAAAGCGUGGGGAGCAAACAGGAUUAGAUACCCUGGUA
rnacentral:rRNA from 1 species